rnacentral:misc_RNA from 1 species
UUAAGUUCAGCGGGUAGUCCCACCCGAUUUGAGGUCAAAUUGUCAGUUGUGGUAAACCACAGUCCAAAAGGACGGUUUGAAAGCAUAGAGCUUGUCAUGACAAUGCGGUCUUGCGACCAACUCUGGUGAAAUGUUUAUUACACCGGAUACACUGCAAAAGCAAGGUACACUAAAGCAUUUGAGACGAGCCGUAUUGACAC